rnacentral:lncRNA from 1 species
UCCGGUUGUGUUGUUGGGUGAGCUUCUUCACCCUUCCGGUUGUGUUGUUGGUUCCAGUCUAUGAGCAAUUUUUUUGUUUAUUACUGUCGACCAGAUGCUCAGAUCUAGCUAGGCCUCCAUAUAGAAUUUUUUAAGCUUUUAAAUUUGUUGUGUGCCUCGGAUAAGUUACUGCAAAUGGGAUUAUUGUUCCUGCUCAGGAGAUGCUCUCUGACCUGACUAGAGUCAUAGAAAGAUUUUUUGUUGCCAUUCUUAGAUUGUUUGGUACCUUGCUCUUUCCUUGUCAAGAAAGGGAUCAAUUUGUCCUGGAGCUCCUGUCCCCUUUAUAAAGGAAGUUUUUGUUCGUUUGCUUGAUGUGUUUCCCUCCUUUCAAUUGUAGGAUUUUCAAGAUGGGCCUUCCUAUCCAUAAGUUUGUCUUUAUACUGCAUAUUAAUUCACUCUUUUGGGUAGGUAACUAAACUCCUGUAACUUUACAUAAUCAUUGAAGUUGUCUUUCCCAAUCCGACUUUUGCAUUACAACAACUUGAUUGCUUGUGUAUUUGUGUAGUUUUCUGCAUAUUCGUACAUCUCUGAAUGUUGUUCCGUUCCUUGAUAAAUACAUCACUCUACAGGGUUGAUUAAAGAAGUUAACUCUUCUUCAUAGCAGUUUUUCAAAUGCCCUGAUGGGAUGACCCUAAACAUGGAUAGUUUAACUUGGUAUAUCAGCUCAAACACCUGAUCCGCAAAAUGGAGUUCCAUUGGUCCUAGCUGCUGUUCUAGAUCCUUCAAAAAGAAAAAAAAAGUUCUAUACUAAAUAAACUAUCUGCUCUAUUAUUUUAAUUUUUAGUCUUGCUUCCAUCCAUCUACUUAUAGUACCCUGGGUAGCUACAACAGUGAUGCUCUUUCUUUCUCUAUAGGGAAGCUUCGGACAUGAUUUAUAGAGGGAAAAUGAGACCCGUGCGAAAUCGAGCGUCCUGGUGUUGGGACUCAUGAUCCGCACUUGUUGUCUAAAUGCAGUACAUGCGCAUUGCAGUGGUAAUGUUGUUAACUGACCCUGUAUAUUCCUUAGUUAGAUGUCUAAUAAACCAAGAAUUUGACACUUGAGUAAGUUCAGUAUAUCAUCGUCUACUUAGACAAAAUACAUCAUGGUCAAACAAUACAAAUAUUUCACAGGUAGAAAAAGCAUACAAAUAUUAAUUUUCAGUAAAAUGAUGAAGUGUUCAGAUAUAUCAAUGCUUUCACCUCACUUGUCAUGCUAUUAUGAACUAUAUUUGUAGUUUAAUUGCUAUAUCAGAAUCAAAGUAACCCAUUUGACGCUUGACUGUAUCUUAGCAUGCUUAUUGUGUUCCUUCCUUAUGUCAUUUUUACAGAUAAAUUCAUUUGUGUCAAGUAUCACUUUUUGCCAUAUGGACAUGACAAGUUGUCAUACAUUGGCCUGUUAAAUUUAUUGGGUGCCAAGUUCACUUGCCAUAUUCUCAAUUUUGUUUCUUCUAAUUUUGGUGUUGGUGUGUGUAUUGUUAGUGAAAAGAUGCUCAUAGUUUUUUUAAAUAUGUGUACGCCAUUAACUGAUGUCAUUGUGUUUUCCAGGGGUAUAUGAACCAGAAAUGAUUAUUUGAACAUGAAGGUCAACCGCGGGGUGGCGUGACAUGGCGUGGCCUCAGCCAAUUAGGUGUCCUCUCUUUUUGCCCGUUGCUUCCUCUGGAACUCUUAUUUUGUUUGGCUUAUGAAGGCACAUUCAUCCUGCAAGUACAAUCAUGAUUAAGAGUUAGAACGCCCUGCACAGCGGUUUAUUUCCAUACAUUGAUUGCUAUUUUUUAUGCCUUAUAUACUACGCCUUAUCACACAAUAGUUUGGUAAAGAAAGAGGAACUCACUCCUAAAUUUGCACUAAUUAUAUAUUUAUGUCACUGUUUUUUAGGAAACUAUCUGAACUCUUCUGACGGCCAUUUGUUCUCUAUUAUUUUUCUUUAGAAGUUUAUCCAUGAUGGCCUUUUCCACCUAGAAAGAGCAUCAAGGCCGUUGACCCCAUUUUAUUUUUUGUUCUAUAGGCAUCUUUUCUUCAAAUGAGGCUCCAACCUGAGCAAGGGCAUGGUUUGCAGAUGAUGUAUCUGCUUUAUGUGUGUCAGAAGAGCCCUCCGACGCCCAGCCGCUGGUUUCUCUGCCCGAAGAAGGAUCAUGGUUCCCCACCUCUCUACAACUCAUAUUAAAAUUUUGGUAUAUUCUUUUCUUACUUUAUUUCCUGUGAACAAAAAGUUGGAACCUAUUCUUAACUUCCCAUAGUGGUUUUGAUGGUAUUUGGUCAGUGUGUUUCUGGCCGGAAUUGCAUGUAUAUCUUAUAGAUUUACAUUGCAACAAUUAAUAAGGAGAAUAGAAGCAUUUGCAUCCUCUAAUAGACUAAUACUUUGCCUGCCAUGCUUAGCGAGAAUUCAAAAUAGUGACCUUUGGAUAUCAAUUAUGGGUUUGUAAUUUCGUGCCAAGACCUAAAAGCAUUUUUGUCUCAUGCUUCGACUAUCAUAUCUAUUUUCUCUGUAAAUUCUAGACAUCUAGUUCAGAUUAUGAUCUUUGCAUGCCCUUUUUUUGUAUCAUCUGAAAUAGGGCAACAUUACAAAAAAGAGCCACAUGUUUUAGCAAUUGAAUCACCAUGACAACUUUUCAGGUUAUCGUUCUUUAGCCAUUUAAUGCAGUAUCAACUGUUCAGUGUGCUUCUUGAAAUGAAACAUAAUGUAUAGUUCAACAGUUUUGAGUACCCGCAUAUUUUUGCUUCACCCGUCACCACAGAGGUCUUACCUCACCUUGACCAUGGAGCCACAAGGAGUAUGAUCAAUAUAUGAUCGUUCUUAGAGCUAAAAUUCUAAUUUCCAUACUAAAUCAAUUGCUUCCUUCAUCAAGUGAUUCAUAGUAAACCAGUAAACAUGAAUUUUAUGCGUAUAUAUUACUUCUUUGUUUGCCAUUUAUUUUGUUCAAAAUAUUUAUAUGGCAGUUUUCAAAAAGCUUAAGGUUAGAGAUGUGUUGCUGUAUGACGCUAUUGUUAGGAUGGAAGAUAAAUUAAUGUUAAAAUAUUUUUGAUUUCCUUUAUUCCGUAAAUGGCAAUUCAAGAUAUGUUUGGGCCACAUGAUUCUAUUCCAAAAAUUUAAACAACUUGGCAAUUAACGACGCAUCAAAUGUUAUGUAUUAAAAAUUUGAAUGGAUCACUUUGUCAGGUUAGGUUUAGUAGGUCAUAAUGGUUUUAUUCUACGACAAGCUUGAUUUGUUUAUAAUGUAACCAGUUCAAGGAUUGAUGAGUUUUUUAGCCCUAUGACCUCUGUACACUCAGGUUUGGCUGUGUUCUUUGUGAAGUAUACGUCCUGCAAGGCUCAUGUGCGUUGCACUGUUUUCACUCUCCAAGCUACAGUCUAUACUCCCUCUGUAAACUAAUAUACUCCAAGCUACAAUCUUUAGUGAUCUGAACGAUCUUAUAUUAGUUUACAAAGGGAGUACUUGAAAGGAUAUUCUUUAUAUUUUGUUUGAUUCCAUCAGCCAUACAACAUAAAUUAGCAAUUAGGUAUCUACACAGUGUAGUGGAACCAUUGUGCUUGCUGUAGUUUUAUUUUAGCGUUGAAAUGUUCUUCUUAGUUUGUUUUGUACUGAGAAAUAUUUUUGUUUUCUGGCCAUUGUUUUCUAAAUCCUAUAAACAUAUUACCUUAUAUGGCCUUUGAAGUUUCCGUUUUAUAAAGAGCUUUGCACUGAUCAAGUUGAGUAUGGUAUGGUUUAUUCAUUUGUGUUGCAGCUAUUCCAGAGAAGUUUAGAGCUCCACAACCUUAGCAGAGAUGAAACAAUCAAUCAGCUGAGAUGUUGAAAGUACAUGUAGUCCCCAUGUGUGGUUUUGGUAAUUAAUGACAAUCCUAACAGACUAAUGUUUGCAUUAAGUUAUACAUUUGAAGGAAAGUUCCAUUUCCAAUGCAUGAAGAAUAUUGGAUGAACUAAAGGAUGUUUAUACCAUGGUGAUGCAAGAAGGAGAUAGAAUGGAUUUGAAAUGAAUGCCCCAUACAUAUUGUUGUGCAUGCAUCAAGGCUUAUGGGUUGAACCAUGAUGGAUCAAGAUCUUGAGAGAAUGAUUAAAGAGAAGAAUUCUACAUAUGCUUGAAGAUAGGUUAAUUAUGAGCUCAUAUGUUGAGUCAUGGAUUAGUAUGUCAUGAAGCAAGUAAUUCAAGCCAAGAAUUCAUUAUGCCUCUCAAGAUACUAUAUUGGAGCAUGAGAACGAGCAAAUGAGGUCCAAUAUGAUAUUCAAGGAGAAAAUUGAUAUGGUCAUGAUGAAUUAAGAUAUUGGUUAUUAUGUCUUGAAGAAAUGAAGCAUGGUGAAGAUAUCAAUAGGGCCUUCAUGACAUCAAUAUUAAUCAUGGAGCAAAGAUAAAUGUUGACCAAGAUGAAGAUCAAAGAUUGACCUCUAAGAUGGACAACACACAAGCGCAUAUCAUGUGCCACAUGAGAUCUUGUGGCAUAGUAAGAAUUUAUCAAUUGCGCUUUGUGUAUUAACCCAUACUAUGUGUUGUCUAUGUUAUGUGGGUUAGGUAAUUCUCAUGAGCUUGGUUCUUACCAAAGGAUGUCAUCAAGUAAUUAAUGAUGAUGUACAAGUGAAGAUGAAUGCAAAGCAAAGCUUCCCACAUUGUGUAUGGGGGAGCUACUUGAAGACUUCUCCAAUGUCUUGCCUUCAACUUGAGCCAUGAAGAAACAUCAAUAUAAAGCUCAAGUGAAAGGCUCUAGUCAAAGGUAUUAGUUCCUUUGGCUUCAGAAGAGAGGAUCUAUGACCAUCGAAAAGGAUAUAUGCUCAAGAAUGAGUUUCCGGAAGCUAUCUAGUAUAGUUUUUUUAUGAUUCUUGAGUUAUAGGGAUCCCAAACUAUUAAGAGUGGAUCAAAGGGGUUAGUGAUGGAUUUGCUCAAGUCAACAUCAUCUAUUUCUAUUCUUCUCACAUCAUAUUCCAACAUAGGCAUAUUUCACUCCUAUCCAAUGCAAAUACAAAAUGCCUACACAUCUACCAAAGAAAAUCCAUAGCCAAAUAGGUUCCCCAAAGUAUAUGAUAUUAUCUUUCCAUACUUUGCACAAUCCAUUUUGGUUUAUCUUGGGUCGUUAUCUAUGUGAGGACCUGGAUCUUUUCCAUAGCUUCAAAACGAGCCCAAGAUCAUCAAAAUCGGAGUCCGGAUGUGAAAGUUAUGCAUGUUUUACUUUUGGGGCGGCUGCAGUUUUUGUGUUGGCCGGAUGUCCGGGCUUUUCCCCGGAUGUCCGGCCACUGCUAUCCAGAGGGCGUCUGAUUUGUGUGAAAUCGCCGGAUGUCGGGCCCCUGGCCCGGAUGUCCGGCCGUAGAUGUCCAGAAACCUUACCGAAAUGCUGUUUGUAUACGCCGGAUGUCCGGCCCUUGGCCGGAUGUCCGGGGCCCCAAGUUUGGCAGAUGUCCGGGCCCUGUAACCUGUUUUUCUGCAUACGUGUGUGCACACUUCACAAUGUCUGGAUGUCCGGCCCCAGGCCUGAUGUCCGGCCCGACACAACGACUUACACUCCAACGGCCAUAUUUGCACUACCACUAUAUAUAACCUUCUUCCACCCCGGGAGAAGGUUGAGCAACACAUUCAUAUGAACCCUAGAACACAAAAAGGCUCCCUCUCACUUCUCCUACACCAAAUCUUAGAUCCCGGAGAGAUUCGUGAGAGUUCUUGAGAGAUUUUCCAAUCAAGUGAUAGAUCCACUCCCUCUCCCUCUUGUGACCAAAGGAAUUCGUGAUUUGAUCAAGUCUUUAGCAUUUCCCCCUUGAUCUUGUUACUCUUGGAGGUUGGAGACUCCUAGGCGGUAGGAGUGUUCCGGUGAGGAAUCAACUUGUGAUUUGCCCCUGGAAAGAUUGUGAAGGUUUGGAGGCCGCCUCAAGGUCUACCGCUAGUGGUUGAGAAACGCCUUCGUGGUGUUGUCUCGAAGGGAUAAUAGAUGAGCCUUCGUGGCUUUGGUGUGCCUUCAUGGUAACAUCCACCUCUCUAAUGAUGACUAGCUUCCCUCCAAGGAAGUGAACAUCGGGAUACAUCCUCAUCUCAGUGUCUUCGGUUAUCUCUAACCCUAGUCACUACUUGUGGUUUACCUUGGUCUCUUGACCUUGCAUUCACUAUAUAUUGUUGUCCUCAUUAUAUUGUGUUGGCUAUUUCCUUGAAGAGAUUAUUUAGGCCUACACUUUAUAUCCAGCAAUUCAUACUUGCUACUAUUGAUAUAUCUUGUGUUUAGUGUGAAUUGCUAACUUGUGUCAUACACUUCCAUAUCUUGUCAUAUUUCUCAAGUAAGUUUGUGCAACUUACUUGUUCUUGUUAAUAUCCUUGUUGUGCUCAUCUUAUUUAUAAUAAGUUGUUGGUGCACUUAGUUGAGCGUAGUUUAUUUAGGAUUUGUGCUUGAAAAGUAUCCUCUUAGUUUAUUUCCACAUUAGGAUUAAGCCAAAUCCGUAGAAGUUUUUAAAUUGCCUAUUCACCCCCCCUCUAGGCGACAUCGUGGUCCUUUCAGAUGCAUCACAUGAUAUUUUUCUCUUAACUUUGAUGGGUAUUGAACCCAUAGGUCAGCUUAUCAAUGGAACUCUUAUCAGCGUUCAGAAGGUGGCACAAAAUCUCAUAUGCAGGGCGAUCAGCUAAGAAGCAUCGCGUCAGGAAGGACUUUUAGGAUGGUACCGCGGUCAAAUGCAUCCUAGGAUAGGUCCUUUAAGAAUUGUGGUGUGUUUCCCUACUUUAGUUUACUAGAGGCACAGAGGUUUAGCCUCAAUUUAUUAUGAUAUUUUUGUUUAGAGUAGAUGCAGAAGUGAGACUUACCCAGGUUGUGAGAGCUGGUGAUGAUUCUAUUAAAAGUCCCUUGUUGCCUGGAACGAUUGUCUCUGUAAAUAGCAUAACUAACGCCAUAUGGUUUCCAAUGUGACUAAGAUGUAAAUUCGUCCUGGGUGUAGUUUCUAAAGCACAGAGUUGCUGAAAAUGGAAAUAUUUUCAACAUGCUAUGAUUUUGAAUGGGACUUUGUGCUACCAAAUUAUAAUGUGUACAUCUCAUUGUAGAUAACAAUCCAUCGUUUUUUGCUGCUAAAGGGUAUUAGAUUUGUUACCAUAUG